AGCCCCUCGCAGCCCGCUUUGGUCGCUGAGUCCGGACCCGCCACGCCAGGAGCCGGCAGGUUUAACUAUAGAUCAACACAUCAUCUUGCAUCUCAUGGGUUCUAUGAAUUUUUAAAUUGGUUUGAUGAAAGAGCAUGGUAUCCACUAGGAAGAAUAGUAGGUGGUACUGUUUACCCAGGGUUGAUGAUAACCGCUGGCCUUAUUCAUUGGAUUUUAAAUACAUUGAACAUAACAGUUCACAUAAGAGAUGUAUGCGUGUUCCUUGCACCAACUUUUAGCGGCCUUACAUCUAUAUCUACUUUCCUGCUUACAAGAGAACUUUGGAACCAAGGAGCAGGACUUUUAGCUGCUUGUUUUAUUGCCAUUGUACCAGGCUACAUAUCUCGGUCAGUAGCUGGAUCCUUUGAUAAUGAAGGCAUUGCUAUUUUUGCACUUCAGUUCACAUACUAUUUAUGGGUAAAAUCUGUAAAAACUGGGUCAGUUUUUUGGACAAUGUGCUGCUGCUUAUCCUAUUUCUAUAUGGUCUCUGCUUGGGGUGGUUAUGUAUUUAUCAUCAAUCUUAUUCCACUGCAUGUAUUUGUGUUGUUACUGAUGCAGAGAUACAGCAAAAGAGUCUACAUAGCAUAUAGCACUUUCUACAUUGUGGGUUUAAUAUUAUCCAUGCAGAUACCUUUUGUGGGAUUCCAGCCAAUCAGAACAAGUGAACACAUGGCAGCUGCAGGUGUCUUUGCAUUGCUGCAAGCUUAUGCUUUCUUGCAGUAUCUGAGAGACCGAUUAACAAAACAAGAGUUCCAGACC
rnacentral:sRNA from 1 species